rnacentral:rRNA from 1 species
AGAGUUUGAUCCUGGCUCAGGAUGAACGCUGGCGGCAUGGAUAAGGCAUGCAAGUCGAGUGGGUUUAGACCCACGGCAAACGGGUUAGUAAUACGUAGGAAUGUUCCCUCAAGUCGUGAAUAAUGUGUCGAAAGACACGCUAAUACACGAUGUGCUCUACGGAGUAAAGAUUUAUCGCUUGAGGAGCAGCCUGCGUCCUAUCAGCUAGUUGGUGGGGUAAAAGCCUACCAAGGCUCUGACGGGUAGGGGGUGUGAGAGCAUGGCCCCCAACAUUGGGACUGAGACACUGCCCAGACUCCUACGGGAGGCUGCAGUCGAGAAUAUUCGUCAAUGGGCGAAAGCCUGAACGAGCGAUGCCGCGUGUAGGAUGAAGGCCCUCGGGUCGUAAACUACUUUUCUCAGGGAAGAAUUUCGAUGACGGUACCUGAGGAAUAAGAGGUUACUAACUCUGUGCCAGCAGUAGCGGUAAUACAGAGACCUCAAGCGUUAUCCGGAUUUAUUGGGCGUAAAGAGUGGGUAGGUGGUCGUGUUAGUCAGAUGUCAAAUCCUUCGACUCAAUCGAAGAACUGCAUUUGAAACGGCACGACUUGAGGCGGUGAGAGACCAGUGGAAUUCACGGUGUAGUAGUGAAAUGCGUUGAUAUCGUGAAGAACACCAAAGGCGAAGGCAGCUGGUUGGCACCGAUCUGACACUGAGCCACGAAAGCGUGGGGAGCGAAUGGGAUUAGAUACCCCAGUAGUCCACGCCCUAAACGAUGCACACUAGGUAUGGGAGGAAUCGACCCCUUCCGUGCCGCAGCUAACGCGUUAAGUGUGCCGCCUGGGAAGUACGAGCGCAAGCUUAAAACUCAAAGGAAUAGACGGGGAUCCGCACAAGUGGUGGAGCAUGUGGUUUAAUUCGACGAUAACCGAGGAACCUCACCAGGGUUUGAAAUCUGGCUGGAGAUCUUAGAAAUAAGAAGUCCUUCGAGGCCGCUAGACCAGGUGCUGCAUGGUCGUCGUCAGCUCGUGUCGUAAGAUGUUCCGUUAAGUCGGGAAACGAGCGCAACCCCUGUCGCGUGUUACACGUAUCACGCGAGACCGCCCAGCUCUUUGCGUAGGAACGCAAAGAGAAUUUCCAAAUUCAAAGCAACAAGUUCCAAACCUGCCUAUCGGCAGGCAGGUAAGCACCCGCCAGGUG